CGCUGGCGGCGUGCUUAACACAUGCAAGUCGAGCGGUAAGGCCCUUCGGGGUACACGAGCGGCGAACGGGUGAGUAACACGUGAGCAAUCUGCCCUCCACAUCGGGAUACCCCCCGGAAACGGGAGCUAAUACCGGAUACGACCACUUCAGGCAUCUGAUGGUGGUGGAAAGUUCCGGCGGUGGAGGAUGAGCUCGCGGCCUAUCAGCUUGUUGGUGGGGUAAUGGCCCACCAAGGCUUCGACGGGUAGCCGGCCUGAGAGGGUGACCGGCCACACUGGGACUGAGACACGGCCCAGACUCCUACGGGAGGCAGCAGUGGGGAAUAUUGGACAAUGGGCGAAAGCCUGAUCCAGCAACGCCGCGUGAGGGAUGACGGCCUUCGGGUUGUAAACCUCUUUCAGCGCAGACGAAGCGAAAGUGACGGUAUGCGCAGAAGAAGCACCGGCC
rnacentral:rRNA from 1 species